UACAGAGGGUGCAAGCGUUAAUCGGAAUUACUGGGCGUAAAGCGUGCGUAGACGGUUAUGUAAGUCAGAUGUGAAAGCCCCGGGCUCAACCUGGGAAUGGCGAUGGAUACUGGCUCGCUAGAGUGCGGUAGAGGAGAGUGGAAUUCCCGGUGUAGCAGUGAAAUGCGUAGAGAUCGGGAGGAACAUCAGUGGCGAAGGCGGCUCGCUGGACCAGCACUGACACUGAGGCACGAAAGCGUGGGGAGCAAACAGG
rnacentral:rRNA from 1 species